CCUACGGGUGGCAGCAGUGGGGAAUAUUGGACAAUGGGCGAAAGCCUGAUCCAGCCAUGCCGCGUGUGUGAAGAAGGUCUUCGGAUUGUAAAGCACUUUAAGUUGGGAGGAAGGGUUGUAGAUUAAUACUCUGCAAUUUUGACGUUACCGACAGAAUAAGCACCGGCUAACUCUGUGCCAGCAGCCGCGGUAAUACAGAGGGUGCAAGCGUUAAUCGGAAUUACUGGGCGUAAAGCGCGCGUAGGUGGUUUGUUAAGUUGGAUGUGGAAUCCCCGGGCUCAACCUGGGAACUGCAUUCAAAACUGACUGGCUAGAGUAUUGUCAAGGGUUGUGGAAUUUCCUGUGUAGCCGUUGAAUGCGUAGAUAUAGGAAGGAACACCAGUGGCGAAGGCUACCACCUGGACUAAUACUGACACUGAGGUGCCAAAACGUGGGGAGCAAACAGGAUUAGAUACCCUGGUAGUC
rnacentral:rRNA from 1 species